rnacentral:rRNA from 1 species
UACAGAGGUCUCAAGCGUUGUUCGGAUUCAUUGGGCGUAAAGGGCGCGUAGGCGGCGGGGUAAGUCGGGUGUGAAAUCUCAGAGCUCAACUCUGAAACUGCACUCGAUACUGCUCUGCUUGAGGACUGGAGAGGAGACUGGAAUUCACGGUGUAGCAGUGAAAUGCGUAGAUAUCGUGAGGAAGACCAGUGGCGAAGGCGGGUCUCUGGACAGUUCCUGACGCUGAGGCGCGAAGGCCAGGGAAGCAAACGGG